CAGGUACAGACCUCAGCGCGAGAGCUGUCUUCAAAAGGAAGAUUUGGAAGAGGACACAGAAUAGGUUGCUGAAAGAUUAUACAUCAAUAUCAACUGACUCAAAGAAAAAAUUUGAAAAAACGUUUGGCAGUCAACUUAACUACGUCUGCAAUGAGGAAAACCUGAGGAUCAGAGACAGGAAAAAGGAUGGAAGUGACACUUAUUAGGAACAUUAUGUAUGGAAUGGGAUUCCCUCCAUUGAAAUUUAUAUGAAAGACACUGAAACUGAACAUCUUUGAACUAUAAUUCUUCUAGGUUUAGUAGCCAUGGAGUAUCACAUAUAAAAGGAGGUAAGAUGUUCUGUUGAGAUACUACUGCCUUAGCCAAACAUUAAGACACAUUGC
rnacentral:lncRNA from 1 species